rnacentral:rRNA from 1 species
GGGUUGUGAGGUUAAGUGACUAAGCGUACACGGUGGAUGCCUAGGCAGUCAGAGGCGAUGAAGGGCGUGCUAAUCUGCGAUAAGCGUCGGUAAGCUGAUAUGAAGCGUAAUAACCGGCGAUACCCGAAUGGGGAAACCCAGUGUGUUUCGACACACUAUUGCAUGGUGAAUCCAUAGCCAUGCAAGGCGAACCGGGGGAACUGAAACAUCUAAGUACCCCGAGGAAAAGAAAUCAACCGAGAUUCCCCCAGUAGCGGCGAGCGAACGGGGAAGAGCCCAGAACCUGAAUCAGUUUGUGUCUUAGUGGAAGCGUCUGGAAAGUCGCGCAGCAAAGGGUGAUAGCCCCGUACACCAAAAGGCAUGAAUUGUGAGUUCGAUGAGUAGGGCGGGACACGUGUUAUCCUGUCUGAAUAUGGGGGGACCAUCCUCCAAGGCUAAAUACUCCUGACUGACCGAUAGUGAACCAGUACCGUGAGGGAAAGGCGAAAAGAACCCCGGCGAGGGGAGUGAAAUAGAACCUGAAACCGUGUACGUACAAGCAGUGGGAGCCUUGAUUUAUCAGGGUGACUGCGUACCUUUUGUAUAAUGGGUCAGCGACUUAUAUUUUGUAGCAAGGUUAACCGCAUAGGGGAGCCGUAGGGAAACCGAGUCUUAACUGGGCGUCAAGUUGCAAGGUAUAGACCCGAAACCCGGUGAUCUAGCCAUGGGCAGGUUGAAGGUUGGGUAACACUAACUGGAGGACCGAACCGACUAAUGUUGAAAAAUUAGCGGAUGACUUGUGGCUGGGGGUGAAAGGCCAAUCAAACCGGGAGAUAGCUGGUUCUCCCCGAAAGCUAUUUAGGUAGCGCCUCGUGAACUCAUCUUCGGGGGUAGAGCACUGUUUCGGCUAGGGGGCCACCCCGGCUUACCAAACCGAUGCAAACUGCGAAUACCGAAGAAUGUUAUCACGGGAGACACACGGCGGGUGCUAACGUCCGUCGUGAAGAGGGAAACAACCCAGACCGCCAGCUAAGGUCCCAAAGUCAUGGUUAAGUGGGAAACGAUGUGGGAAGGCAUAGACAGCCAGGAUGUUGGCUUAGAAGCAGCCAUCAUUUAAAGAAAGCGUAAUAGCUCACUGGUCGAGUCGGCCUGCGCGGAAGAUGUAACGGGGCUAAACCAUGCACCGAAGCUGCGGCAGCGACGCUUAGGCGUUGUUGGGUAGGGGAGCGUUCUGUAAGCCGUUGAAGGUGGCCUGUGAGGGUUGCUGGAGGUAUCAGAAGUGCGAAUGCUGACAUAAGUAACGAUAAUGCGGGUGAAAAACCCGCACGCCGGAAGACCAAGGGUUCCUGUCCAACGUUAAUCGGGGCAGGGUGAGUCGACUCCUAAGGCGAGGCUGAAAAGCGUAGUCGAUGGGAAACAGGUUAAUAUUCCUGUACUUGGUGUUACUGCGAAGGGGGGACGGAGAAGGCUAGGCUGGCCGGGCGACGGUUGUCCCGGUUUAAGCGUGUAGGGGGGUAGUCCUGGUAAAUCCGGACUGCUUUAACCCUGAGGCGUGAUGACGAGUCACUACGGUGGCGAAGCAGUUGAUGCCCAGCUUCCAGGAAAAGCCUCUAAGCAUCAGGUAACAUCAAAUCGUACCCCAAACCGACACAGGUGGUCAGGUAGAGAAUACUCAGGCGCUUGAGAGAACUCGGGUGAAGGAACUAGGCAAAAUGGUGCCGUAACUUCGGGAGAAGGCACGCUGGCAUGUAGGUGAAGUCCCUUGCGGAUGGAGCUGAAGCCAGUCGCAGAUACCAGCUGGCUGCAACUGUUUAAUAAAAACACAGCACUGUGCAAACACGAAAGUGGACGUAUACGGUGUGACGCCUGCCCGGUGCCGGAAGGUUAAUUGAUGGGGUCAGCCGCAAGGCGAAGCUCUUGAUCGAAGCCCCGGUAAACGGCGGCCGUAACUAUAACGGUCCUAAGGUAGCGAAAUUCCUUGUCGGGUAAGUUCCGACCUGCACGAAUGGCGUAAUGAUGGCCAGGCUGUCUCCACCCGAGACUCAGUGAAAUUGAACUCGCUGUGAAGAUGCAGUGUACCCGCGGCAAGACGGAAAGACCCCGUGAACCUUUACUAUAGCUUGACACUGAACAUUGAGCCUUGAUGUGUAGGAUAGGUGGGAGGCUUAGAAGUGUGGACGCCAGUCUGCAUGGAGCCAACCUUGAAAUACCACCCUUUAAUGUUUGAUGUUCUAACUCGGCCCCCUGAGCGGGGGUGAGGACAGUGUCUGGUGGGUAGUUUGACUGGGGCGGUCUCCUCCCAAAGAGUAACGGAGGAGCACGAAGGUUAGCUAAUCCUGGUCGGACAUCAGGAGGUUAGUGCAAAGGCAUAAGCUAGCUUGACUGCGAGAGUGACGGCUCGAGCAGGUGCGAAAGCAGGUCUUAGUGAUCCGGUGGUUCUGAAUGGAAGGGCCAUCGCUCAACGGAUAAAAGGUACUCCGGGGAUAACAGGCUGAUACCGCCCAAGAGUUCAUAUCGACGGCGGUGUUUGGCACCUCGAUGUCGGCUCAUCACAUCCUGGGGCUGAAGUAGGUCCCAAGGGUAUGGCUGUUCGCCAUUUAAAGUGGUACGCGAGCUGGGUUUAGAACGUCGUGAGACAGUUCGGUCCCUAUCUGCCGUGGGCGUUGGAAGAUUGAGAGGGGUUGCUCCUAGUACGAGAGGACCGGAGUGAACGCACCACUGGUGUUCGGGUUGUCAUGCCAAUGGCAUUGCCCGGUAGCUAAGUGCGGAAGAGAUAAGCGCUGAAAGCAUCUAAGCGCGAAACUUGCCUCGAGAUGAGUCUUCCCUUGGACCUUGAGUCCACUAAAGGAACGUUUAAGACUAAGACGUUGAUAGGCUGGGUGUGUAAGUGCAGCGAUGCAUUGAGCUAACCAGUACUAAUGAACCGUGAGGCUUAACCUUACAACACCGAAGGUGUUUUAG